CCCUUAGAUGUUCUGGGCUGCACGCGCGCUACACUGAUGCGCUCAACAAGUUUAUGACCUUGCCCGGAAGGGUUGGGUAAUCUUCUUAGCACGCAUCGUGAUAGGGAUAGACUAUUGCAAUUAUUGGUCUUCAACGAGGAAUUCCUAGUAGACGUAGUUCAUCAGACUGCAUCGAUUACGUCCCUGCCCUUUGUACACACCGCCCGUCGCUCCUACCGAUUGAAUGCUCAGGUGAGCCAUUCGGACUUUCAUCAUGCUGGUUUCCAGUUUUGAUGAAGGAAAGUCUUGCGAACCUUAUCAUUUAGAGGAAGGAGAAGUCGUAACA
rnacentral:rRNA from 1 species